GAGAGCUAUUCCUUUAACGAGAGGGCAACCAAUUAUAGCACCAACUCCACAAAUCAAUCAAUCGGCUCUAUUUUCACUUGAAAAUCAUGAUCUCGCUGGUAGUUCCAAGUCUUUACCGCCCCUUCUGGCUCAGCCCUCAUCAUCUGCAACUGGCCAUGCAGCAGAAGCCGAAGAGAAAUCUUCCGAAGAGCGCUACCAUCUCGAAGAUCACCAUGACUUCCCUCCUCUGUUGUGAAUGCUCGAGACUCUCAGUUCCCAAUCAUCCGGUGGUAUUUCCCCAUAACUUAUAUAUCUCGAAACCAAGAACUUGAAAAAAAAACUCGUCUUUAACUUUAUCUUUUCAUCGGUUAUGAUCUAGUGACUGUUUUUCGGAUCUCGAAGUUUGGUUUCAUCCGAACCCAUAUUCGUCGUUACUAUCUGGUUUCAGACUUUGGAUUCAUGUUUUAUCGGUUAAGGAUUAUGGAUGAUUAUGCUCAUGUGUUUGGUUUUGAAGAAGUUUCAUUUCGGAUGAUUUUGGUGGGAAAAGAUGUUUGUGUGAAUGU